UUACGGCCACAUCAUUUUGAAACACCGGUUCGCGUACGAUUCCCAAAGUUAACCAACGGCGAGCUAAGUCAGUAACAAGAUGGGUGAUCGCUUCAGAAUGCCAGGUGCUGUAU